rnacentral:rRNA from 1 species
CACGCCGUAAACGUUGGGAACUAGGUGUGGGUCUCAUUCCACGAGAUCCGUGCCGCAGCUAACGCAUUAAGUUCCCCGCCUGGGGAGUACGGCCGCAAGGCUAAAACUCAAAGGAAUUGACGGGGGCCCGCACAAGCGGCGGAGCAUGUGGAUUAAUUCGAUGCAACGCGAAGAACCUUACCAAGGCUUGACAUAUACCGGAAACACCCAGAGAUGGGUGCCCCGCAAGGUCGGUAUACAGGUGG